AUUGAACGCUGGCGGCAUGCUUUACACAUGCAAGUCGAACGGUAACAGGGAGCUUGCUCCGCUGACGAGUGGCGAACGGGUGAGUAAUGCGUCUGAACGUGCCGAGUAGUGGGGGACAACGCAUCGAAAGGUGUGCUAAUACCGCAUACGUACUGAGGUAGAAAGUGGGGGACCUUCAGGCCUCACGCUAUUCGAGCGGCCGACGUCUGAUUAGCUAGUUGGGGAGGUAAAGGCUCACCAAGGCGACGAUCAGUAGCGGGUCUGAGAGGAUGAUCCGCCACACUGGGACUGAGACACGGCCCAGACUCCUACGGGAGGCAGCAGUGGGGAAUUUGGGCAAUGGGCGCAAGCCUGAUCCAGCCAUGCCGCGUGUCUGAAGAAGGCCUUCGGGUUGUAAAGGACUUUUGUCCGGGAGCAAAUGACUGGUGUUAAUAGCAUCGGGAGCUGAGAGUACCGGAAGAAUAAGCACCGGCUAACUACGUGCCAGCAGCCGCCGUAAUAC
rnacentral:rRNA from 1 species